AACAACACUACCAACAAUAAAACAGAACUCAAGAAAAUAACCACCUCGCUCAGUACCCCAUCAAAAUAGCUAUUGCCUCUAGACCCGCAAGGGUAAACCAUCCGUACACCACAGAAAAGCUUACAACUUGUCCCUUUUGCAUCAUGGAGAAGCAACACAAACCUAACAACUUAAGCUCCCGAAUAACUAUGAGCUACUAAACCUUAAAAAUCAAUGUCGCACAAUUGAUAAAUUAACCUUUAGUAGAAGUAACAAGCCUUUCAUAUAGUUAGAUAGCUGGCUUUCCCCUCAAAGCAUCAAAGUGCUGCCCCGUAGACUAACUCCUCUGGGACACUAAAUAACUACGCGGGUUAACUUUUCGAGGAUUAGCUCGAAAAGACAACAAAAAUAUAGAAAACCCCACCACCAAAAGUAGGCUUAAAAACAGCCACCUAACAGCGUUCUAGUUAAUGGCCCCACACACCAACAAUAUUAAAACCCCAAUUUACCAAAAUAGGGGAACUUGGAGCCAAACACAAAGCACCACUGAACCGGCAUUCUAUUAGUAUUAACAUCACCAAGCCCCAAGAACUCCAGACUAAUUGGGCCACCACAAAGCGACUAAAGCUAAAACUAUAAAAAGUGAACUCGGCAACAAAGUUCUCUGCCUGUUUACCAAAAACAUCGUCUUUUGAGCCAUCGCAUAAAAGAUAAUGCCUGCCCAGUGAAAUACUUAAACGGCCGCGUUAGCGUGAGCGUGCUAAGGUAGCGUAAUAAAUAGCCUCUCAAUUGGAGGCCAGUGAAUGGCAAGACUAAGAACACCUUUACCUUUUAUAUUAGAAAAACUUUUCGUCUAAGUGAAAAGACUUAGAUAAUGAAGGAAGACGAAAAGACCCCGCGGAACUUUACUUUUUCUUACGCUUACACCCAAAAGUACAAAGCGCCAAAAGUUUGAUUGGGGCAAUCUCGGAACCACCAAGCUUCCGAUCACUACAAUAAAACAUCUAAAAUAUGGUAUGGACAAAACAGAAGUUACCCCGGGGAUAACAGCGUUAUCCAACUUAAGAGUACAUAUCGAAAGUUGGGUUUGCGACCUCGAUGUUGGCUUAAGGACAUCCACAUUAGUGCAACCGCUAUGGAAGGAUAGUCUGUUCGACUAUUAUACCCUUACACGAGCUGAGUUAAGACCGGCGUAAGCUAGGUUGGUUUCUAUCUCCUUUACAAACACACCUCUUGAUUGUACGAAAGGACCCCAAAAGAUGCACAAAAAAGCACACCUUAAACAAUUAUCCAAUUAGCUCAAGCAUAAACAAAACCCCAAU
rnacentral:rRNA from 1 species